rnacentral:lncRNA from 1 species
GGUCCUCUGCGCGGGAUGUGGCUCUGAGCUUCGGGGUAGUCCGCGAGGCUGGGUUCCGUGCUGAGGGGCGUCGCGUCUGGCCGUGCGCUGCGGGAGCGCGCGGGCCUGGCCCGCUGUCCUGGCCGCUGCGAGGCGCUCAGCUUCUUUCUGAGUGUUCCGCCGGGUUCGACAGGGUCGAGGUCGCCGGCGCGAGGCUCCCGGAUAGCUGAGGGGCGCGAGGGCGCCUCCAGUCUCCCACCUGCCCUCCCGCGCCGCGGACUAGGCUGCCAGUCUACCCCACCGGGACGUCUGCCCCCGCAUGCAGGAGGGGGUGUGUCGGCCCAACGGGGUCUCAGGACCUGUCCCUGCUCCUCCAAAGCCCACGUCGCCUGCGGCGCCCCUCGGGUCUGCGCCGCGUUCUCCUUUAGCCUCCCGGGCCUCUCCGCUGCCCCUCGCCCCCAGGCACCAGCCACACCUGCUUCCUUCUGUUCCCGCCCGUGGCCUCUGACACGCCGUGCCCUGGACCCGAAAUGCCCGCCCCACUCCUGGAGCCUCCGGUGUGUGAGAGGCACCUUUCCUUGGGGUCAGGGGCCCGGACUCUGAAGCCGGCCUGGCUUUGCCUGUGGGCCCCGAUCCUCCCAGCUCGAGUCCCUCGCCCCAGCCGCCGCGGGCCUUCACCUGUGCUUUGGGGACGACAGGAUGGCCACCCUCCUUCCCCCAAAGAUUUGAGGGUUUUGCUCCACGCGGGAGAAGGUCUGCCUGUGCCACCAGCCGGCAGCCUUUCACAUGCUGUUGCGUUACGGGGCCCUCUGUGACCUUUCCCUAGGCCGAGGGGUGCUUCGUCUCUGUUCCUGAGAGACCAGAAUUUAUUCUUGGUUUGUCAAGCCACAUCUGUAGGAAUGUUGCCCAGUUGCAGCAGGCUGGGGUCUGGGACUUGCUCCUUUGGCGAAUUGAGAAGUAAGGAUAUAGAAGGCAUUUUAGCACUAAUGGAAACCAGAACCACUCUUAGACCUGGGCAAGAGGGGCCCCAGAAAUUAGCAAGCGAUUAGCAAGCAGCUGGAUUUCGAUGACCUCCACUGUACUUAGAGCAACGGCAUUCGAUUCGUUGGAUCAUUUCAAAGAUGACAUACUGGGUUGUUUGUUUGUUUCUGGCGGUGUCUAAAGAUGGAACAUCUUGAAGCAUUUUGAAUUUGACCUGUGGCUACCCUCAGAUACAAUGAUGGUAACCCCAUGAGUGCUGUUAAAGCAAUUUGACUUAUUGUAGACAGGUUAACACAUGAGAUGCGUUAAAAGAGUUAAGUGAAAUAAUAGGCAGCAUUCAAAGAGCAAAUCGUGGUCUUUGGCAGAAAAUAGAGUUAAUUUUGUAUUUGAGCUGUCCAGUUAUUACAAUUAGAAAACGUUUUAAAGAAUCCAAAAGGAUUUAAAAUAUUGCAUAAAGUUUUAGGAGAAAAUGGUUUCCAAAAAGCAACUGCAUAUGAAAUAAGCACUAAAAUGACAUUAAAGUACAAUGUAAGAAAAUCGGAACUAGAAGCAUUUGCUGGAGUCUGAAGAAAAAGAUUUAUGGAUGAAUGAUUCUGAAACUAACUUCUAUAGAGACAAUUUUCCGGCGAUGGUAGAUCAAGGUGUAGAUUGUACUGAAGAGAGAGAUUCAAACAAAGUGAGUAAUCUACCGCAGUUUUCAGUUUUCUUGGUAAUACCCCAACAACGUAAAAGAAAAACGUAAGAAAUCCUGUAUGGAUCUAAAUGUAAGAAACGAUGAUAAUGGUGAAAUAAUAACAUUAUUUUAUAUAAUGAAAAUAUUGUGUAAUAUUUUCUGCAAUCAUAAUUUUUCAUAUGCACCCUUUCUACACUGUUUAAACAUGAUAUCAACAGUCAUGAUUCAGUUCUACAUAUAACGCUUUAAGAAUUUAUUCAUAAUUCGUUACCACUCAGCAGAGUCAAGUUUCUCCCAAUUGAAAUAACUAAAAACUAUCUGAAAGUAUACUGACUCAGGAAAGUUUGUCUAAUUUGGCACUACUGUCAAAAGAAUGCAAUUGCGUGAAAAUCUUCAUUAGUCAUUCUUCUGAAAUGAAGACAAGAGAAACAUUUAUAGAAGAAAUAACAUAAUUUAUGGAUUAUGUGAUUAUGUAUGUCUUUAUUACCCAUCCAAGCAUUAGUGGCCCAUCAACAUAAUACCUAGAGAUACACAAUAAAAAUUAGCUAUCUUUAAUAUUUUGCCAAUUUUCAGCUAUAUUAAAACCAUAGUUUUACACAU